AACGCACAUUGCGCCCUGUGGUAUUCCGCAGGGCAUGCCUGUUCGAGCGUCAGUACAACACUCAAGCUCUGCUUGGUAUUGAGCCCCGCCGGUCACACGGUCGGGUUCUAAAACUAGUGGCGGUGCCAUUGGGCUCUCAGCGUAGUAAUACUUUUCGCUGUAGGGUCCCGGUGGACGCUGGCCAGCAACCCCCAACUUCUAAGUUUGACCUCGGAUCAGGUAGGGAUACCCGCUGAACUUAA
rnacentral:misc_RNA from 1 species